GACAGAGGAUGCAAGCGUUAUCCGGAAUGAUUGGGCGUAAAGCGUGCGCAGGCGGUUGUGCAAGACAGAUGUGAAAUCCCCCGGGCUCAACCUGGGAAUUGCAUUUGUGACUGCACGGCUAGAGUGUGUCAGAGGGGGGUAGAAUUCCACGUGUAGCAGUGAAAUGCGUAGAGAUGUGGAGGAAUACCGAUGGCGAAGGCAGCCCCCUGGGUCAAGAUUGACGCUCAUGCACGAAAGCGUGGGGAGCAAACAGG
rnacentral:rRNA from 1 species